rnacentral:tRNA from 1 species
GCCGGAGUGACUGAGUGGCUAAAGGUGCCAGCCUGGAAAGCUGGUGGGCCAUUACGCGCCCUCCUGGGUUCGAAUCCCAGCUCCGGCG